GGAUGCMAAGGUGAUCUGGGUGUGACAUCUGUCACCCCAUUGAUCACCAGGGUUGAUUUGGCUGAUCUGGCUGGCUAGGUGGGUGUCCCCUUCCUCCCUCACUGCUCCAUGUGUGUCCCUCCCRAAGCUGUGCGCUCGGUCGAAGAGGGCGACCUUCCUUGACAGAGACGUAUCGUUCAUUGGUCAAGGGUAUACAGUAGCUGCUCUCCCCUGCUACUCCUCCAUCCUUCCAAUGAGGGGAAUGAAUUCAAGGAGAAGAUGGAUAUUUCAGGUCAACAGCUGGCUCUGCCACUGGU
rnacentral:snRNA from 1 species